GGCAUUUGUAUUAAACGCUCCGGCGCCAUAGGAUGGACCCGCGUCCCAUUAGCUAGUUGGUGAGAUAACAGCUCACCAAGGCCACGAUGGGUAACCGGUCUGAGAGGGCGAACGGUCACACUGGAACUGAGACACGGUCCAGACUCCUACGGGAGGCAGCAGUGGGGAAUAUUGCGCAAUGGGGGCAACCCUGACGCAGCAAUACCGCGUGAGUGAAGAAGGUUUUCGGAUCGUAAAGCUCUGUUAUUGGGGAAGAAAAAAAGACGGUACCCAAGAAGAAAGUUCCGGCUAACUACGUGCCAGCAGCCGCGGUAAUACGUAGGGAACAAGCGUUGUCCGGAUUUACUGGGCGUAAAGGGC
rnacentral:rRNA from 1 species